rnacentral:rRNA from 1 species
UACGUAGGUGGCGAGCGUUGUCCGGAAUUACUGGGUGUAAAGCGCGUGUAGGCGGGAGGCCAAGUCUGCUGUGAAAUCGCCCGGCUCAACUGGGCGGGGUCGGUGGAAACUGGUCACCUGGAGGACGGUAGAGGCGAGUGGAAUUCCCGGUGUAGUGGUGAAAUGCGUAGAGAUCGGGAGGAACACCUGUGGCGAAGGCGGCCGACUGGGCCGACCCUGACGCUGAGGCGCGAAGGCGUGGGGAGCGAACGGG